rnacentral:tRNA from 1 species
GGCGUUGUAGCUGAGCUGGUACAGCGGCACUUCGUCGCUGCCGACCUUGAGGCUGCCGAAGACGCUGAGUUGCGAAUCGUCCAGCGCCA